UACGAAGGGGGCUAGCGUUGCUCGGAAUUACUGGGCGUAAAGCGCACGUAGGCGGAUACUUAAGUUAGGGGUGAAAUCCCAAGGCUCAACCUUGGAACUGCCUUUAAUACUGGGUAUCUCGAGUCCGGAAGAGGUGAGUGGAAUUCCGAGUGUAGAGGUGAAAUUCGUAGAUAUUCGGAGGAACAACAGUGGCGAAGGCGGCUCACUGGUCCGGUACUGACGCUGAGGUGCGAAAGCGUGGGGAGCAAACAGG
rnacentral:rRNA from 1 species